CGGCCGGGCACGGUGGCUCACGCCUGUAAUCCCAGCACUUUGGGAGGCCGAGGCAGGCGGAUCACCUGAGGUCAGGAGUUCAAGACCAGGCUGGCCAACGUGGUGAAACCACAUCUCUACUAAAAAUACAAAAAUUAGCCGGGCAUGGUGAUGCACACCUGUGGUCCCAGCUGCUAGGGAGACUGAAGCAGGAGAAUGGCUUGAACUCGCGAGGUGGAGGUUGCAGUGAGCCAAGAUCACGCCAUUGCACUCCAGCCUGGGCGACAGAGCAAGGCUGAGUUUUUGAGACUCCGUCUCAAAAAAUAAAAUAAGAAGGAAAUUUAAAAAACAGAUUAUCAGAUUGAGUACAUUGGUUAGCUGAUCCAAAAUACGCCCAGAUAGGUUUUUUUGGUCUUGUUUUAUUUUGUUGUUGUUUUGUUUUGAGACAGAGUCUCGCUCUGUCGCUCAAGCUGGAGUGCAGUGGCACGAUCUCGGCUCACUGCAAACUCCGCCUCCCGGGUUCAAGAGAUUCUCCUGCCUCAGCCCUCCUGAGUAGCUGGGAUUACAGGAUCACACCACCAUGCCCGGCUAAAUUUUUUUUGUAUUUUUAGUAGAGACAGGGUUUCACUUUGGGAGGCCCAGGCGGGCGGAUCACAAGGUCAGGGAUAGGUUUAAGUAAUUGAAAACUCAAACUUGUUAGUUACUAGGUGGUACCUAUUAUUUUCCCUAACACAUCUCAAAGAAUUUCUGGACUAGUGAUAUCUGUGAACUUUGUCAAAGUAUUAUGUUUUAGAUAAAUGGGAGUUUAGAAUAAUGAUGAGUUCUUUAUAUUUUAGUUGGAAAGAAUUAGUUAGAUGCACAGUAAAGGAAAGGAUAGUGGAACAAAAAUACCACAUUCUGUUCCUAUUCUCAUUUUCUUCCCAUCAUUAAUGGGAAUAAAAUGGUUUCAAAGUAAACAAUGAGGCUGGGCACGGUGGCUCAUGCAUGGAAUCCCAGCACUUUGGGAGGCCGAGGUGGGCAGAUCACAAGGUCGGGAGUUCAAGACCAGCCUGGCAAUAUGGUGAAAACCCCAUCUCUGCUAAAAAGACAAAAAAAAGAUAGUCAGCAUGGUGGCGCACGCCUGUAAUCCCAGCUACUCAGGAGGCUGAGGCAGG
rnacentral:lncRNA from 1 species